CUCGUCAUACGUUCUCCGUUGGUAUCGAAACCGGUUUCUAGCGUUUUAUGCCCGCAGACACGCCGCUGUGCCGAUUAAAACUAGGAGAAAUGUCAAAAGUAAGAUUAGAUUAAAUUUAAUGUACAGUUUUAAGUUUCUGAUGUUGUUUAUAAAGCGGUAUUUUUAAUUGCUUCUUUCUCACGCUAGUAUUUGACGGAAGGAAGAGGUGAAAGCAUCAAACCUGAUCUUCCCACCAUCCCGAUAAAGAAAGAGUUUGACGCAGAAUGAAAAUUAAAAAUUAUGAAAUAUAAUAUAAAAAAUAUGUAUGUAUAUGCCAUUUUUGUAAGUUGUAGUAUUACUAAUUACUGAUACUAUUACUACUAGUGCUUCUACAAAUUGCAAGGCAUCACUGAUAACAAUGGUAUCGCUAAAGUGAGGCCCCCUAGUGGCAUGUCUGCGGACUUACAACUCUAGAAACCGGGUUUCGAUACCCGUGGGGGCAGAGCACAGAUAACCCAUUAUGUAGCUUUGUGCUUAACUUCAAACAAACACGCUAAAAAAAGCUUAAGGUGUAUCCAUGGGCAGCCAGUAAAUGCAAAUGGAACUGGUGAUGAUUUUUCCUGGAGGCAUUCAUUGGAAGUUUGUACCUGCUUGGAUUUUAAGAAUCUUUGGGAAAGUUACCUUCAACAUGUAAGAACUGAAAUGGGUGCUGUUUGAUACCUUGAGAGGCAACAACUCUGGAUAGGUGAAACCCAUGUGAGGGAUUGAACCUCAGAUCUUGUAUGGAAAGAAGUUUACUUUAUACACACAUGCAGUCUUUUGUUCAAUUGUUUAUCUUGUCUUUUAGGAAGUUUUCUGCCAUUAAGUUUCCUAAAACACUGAAGAAAUUGAGCUACUGUUUAAUUUUUGAAAAUGAUGGAUGUAAUAAUGAAAGUUUUAAACAAGUCUUUCUCAAUGUUUAUAACAGAGAUUGAGUUUUAUAAUUACUUAUAGGUUAAUCUAAUCGUUCACAUUAAGCCUAUAAAAUAAGCAACAUAUUUUGGUAAAACUUUCUGUUUAGUUAAAAAAAAAAAGAUUCUAGCUUCAAAUAUUUUUAUCAAACCUAAAUGAAUAGAUUUCCCCUCAAAUUUGAUGACAAGAAAUCCACAUUUUGCAGCUGGCUUGAACGAGUAGUGAAAGAAAAUAUAUUACAAAUGUACAACAUUUCAACCAGCUUAUUUAACUGACGAUAAGUAGUAUUUCCUCAGUAAUUUAGUUUCUGACACUGAUAAAUCUGAAAAUCAUAACAUUUUGUACCUAGUAGCACACAACAACUACUGUUGGCUAAUUUUUAAUAAAGUAAUUUGUGUAAGUAAUGUUUCCUAGCAUUAAUUCUUGCAUGUGAAAUUUUUUUACACGACAGAGCGGCAUGUGGUCUCACUUGGGUUAUAUUAAUAUAACCCAAGUGAGACCACAUGCCACUCUGUCAUGUAAAAAAAUUUCACAUGCAUUAAAUAAUAUAACCCAAGUGAGACAACAUGCCACUCUGUCAUGUACAAAAAUUUCACAUGCAU